ACGGGUGAGUAACACGUAAGUAAUCUACCUUCGAGUGGGGAAUAACAGUCGGAAACGACUGCUAAUACCGCAUAAUGCAGCGGCAUCGCGAGAUGACAGUUGUUAAAGAUUUAUCGCUUGAAGAGGAGCUUGCGGCAGAUUAGCUAGUUGGUAAGGUAAUGGCUUACCAAGGCUACGAUCUGUAACCGGUCUAAGAGGACGGUCGGUCACACUGACACUGAAUAACGGGUCAGACUCCUACGGGAGGCAGCAGUCGGGAAUUUUGGGCAAUGGGCGAAAGCCUGACCCAGCAACGCCGCGUGAAGGAUGAAGUAUCUCGGUAUGUAAACUUCGAAAGAAUAGGAAGAAUAAAUGACGGUACUAUUUAUAAGGUCCGGCUAACUACGUGCCAGCAGCCGCGGUAAUACGUAGGGACCAAGCGUUGUUCGGAUUUACUGGACGUAAAGGGCGCGUAGGCGGCAAUUCAAGUCAUCUGUGAAAUCUCCGGGCUUAACUCGGAACGGUCAGAUGAUACUGCUUUGCUAGAGUGCGGAAGGGGCAAUCGGAAUUCUUGGUGUAGCGGUGAAAUGCGUAGA
rnacentral:rRNA from 1 species